rnacentral:rRNA from 1 species
GACAGAGGGUGCAAACGUUGUUCGGAAUUACUGGGCGUAAAGCGCGUGUAGGCUGCUUCGCAAGUCGGGUGUGAAAGCCCUGGGCUCAACCUAGGAAGUGCACUCGAAACUGCGAAGCUUGAGUUCUGGAGAGGAAGGCGGAAUUCUCGGUGUAGAGGUGAAAUUCGUAGAUAUCGAGAGGAACACCGGUGGCGAAGGCGGCCUUCUGGACAGUGACUGACGCUGAGACGCGAAAGCGUGGGUAGCAAACAGG